rnacentral:rRNA from 1 species
GCUACUGCUAUCGGGGUCCGACUAAGCCAUGCGAGUUGAGAGGGGUAAGCCCUCGGCAUAUUGCUCAGUAACACGCGGACAACCUGCCCUUGGGUUUGGGAUAACCCCGGGAAACUGGGACUAAUACCGGAUAGAUCAAAGAUACUGGAAUGUUCUUUGUUCGAAAGCUCCGGCGCCCAAGGAUGGGUCUGCGGCCUAUCAGGUAGUAGUGGGUGUAAUGUACCUACUAGCCUACGACGGGUAAGGGUUGUGAGAGCAAGAGCCCUGAGAUGGGUUCUGAGACAUGAAUCCAGGCCCUACGGGGUGCAGCAGGCGCGAAAACUUUACACUGCGGGAAACCGCGAUAAGGGGACCCCGAGUGCCAGCACCUAGUGCUGGCUGUCCAGCUGUUCAAAAAACAGUUGUUAGCAAGGGCCGGGCAAGACCGGUGCCAGCCGCCGCGGUAACACCGGCGGCCCGAGUGGUAGCCGUUAUUAUUGGGUUUAAAGGGUCCGUAGCCGGCCUAUUAAGUCUCUUGGGAAAUCUGGCGACUCAAUCGUCAGGCGUUCAAGAGAUACUGGUAGGCUUGGGACCGGGAGAGGUGGGAGGUACUCCAGGGGUAGGGGUGAAAUCUCGUAAUCCUUGGGGGACCACCGAUGGCGAAGGCAUCCCACCAGAACGGGUCCGACGGUGAGGGACGAAAGCUGGGGGCACGAACCGGAUUAGAUACCCGGGUAGUCCCAGCUGUAAACGAUGCUCGCUAGGUGUCAGGUGCGGUGCGACCGCAUCUGGUGCCGUAGUGAAAACUUGAAGCGAGUCACCUGGGAAGUACGGUCGCAAGGCUGAAACUUAAAGGAAUUG